GUCCGAUAUCUCUCCGAUAUUUAGCACGAUGAAGGCGCUUUUGUUCUUGACCGUGGUAGCUGUGGCUAUUAGCCAGCCCAAUUGGGCGGAUCUGAGGUUUGGUGGCAGCGAGUACCACUUCUCCUGGCGCCACGACG